rnacentral:lncRNA from 1 species
UAUCACCACCGAUCCCACAGAAAUACAAACUACCAUCAGAGAAUACUAUAAACACCUCUAUACAAAUAAACUAGAAAAUCUAGAAGAAACAGAUAAAUUACUGGACACAUACACCCUCCCAAGACUAACUCAGAAGAAGUUGAACCUCUGAAUAGACCAAUAACAGGCUCUGAAAUUAGGCAAUAAUUAAUAGCCUACCAACCAAAAAAAGUCCAGGACCAGAUGGAUUCACAGCCAAAUUCUACCAGAGGUAUAAAGAGGAGCUGGUACCAUUCCUUCCGAAACUAUUCCAAUCAAUAGAAAAAGAGGGAAUCCUCCCUAACUCAUUUUAUGAGGCCAGCAUCA